AGUAAGGGGGGAAUGGGAGGUGAGACAAAGGACAUGGGUGGGUGCCUUCUGCCUAGUGGGAAGAAGAAGUCUCUCAGAGAUAGUCAGGGUCUCUUGGCCACGGAGGCUGCCAGAAACAGGCAACUUGCUUGUGUUUCUGUGGUGUGACCUUCUAUGGCUGUUUUAUGAACCUACAUGUAUUCUCCAAGAAGUAGAGUGACUGGAUGAUUUUGUUCUUCAACAAUGGAGUAUGGUGACAAACCUAGCUUGAGGAAGAGGCCAUGAGAGCAUGAGGGCAGUGUCCCACCCCAAAAAGCAGAGAAAAUACAGAAGGAUAAAGAACUGUGAAAAGGUCAUGAACUUUGGAGUUGGGCAGAAGUGAGUGUGAGCUGCAUUGCCUCUUCCUGGUGCGGAAGCUUUGUGGCCAGCACUGCAUCUGUUAGAUGAGGCUGCUAUUGAAGAGCAGAAGAGAACAUUCCACGAUACAGAAAGGUCUCCAGGGUCCUGGCUAGCCUAGUCCUCACUGGCCCCACCAUUCUUCCCUUCUCUAAAUUCCACCAAUAAUGCUUUUUCAUGGGUUAUCUAAAACAGUGGUUCUCAACUUGUGGGUUGGUGACCCCUUGGGUAGGGAUGUUAACUAUCUCUUCAUAGGAGUCACAUAGCAGAUAUCCAUCCUAUCAGAUUACAUUUGCAUUACAGUUCAUAUCCGUUCCAAAAUUAUAGCUAUGAAAAUAACGUUAUAGUCAGGGGUCAUGACAACAUGAGGAACUUUUAAAGGGUCACAGAAUUAUGAAAGUUGAGAACCACUGCUCUGGGCUCUAAGACUAAGUGUGCCUGGGGAUCUGCACACUUCUCUCUAUUCCAUUCUUCUACUAGUUCAUUCUUCCUGAUGCUUCAGAACUCAGCCAGAGUGUCACUGUCUCAAAGAAGCCUUCCCUAUCUCCAGCUAAGUGGGAAGCCUUGUGAAGUGCACCCUGAGCAUCAUAAGACUCUUCAUAAUUGUUGUCAAGGCUAAUAAUUGUGUCACUAACUCACUCCUUUCAGAAUGUCACAUGAAGUUGUGUUCACUUCCAUCCCAUUCUUCACAACUGUUUUUUAUCUUUAAAGCUUUGGGUGGGAAAGUAAGAAUAAUGGAAACAGACAAGGACCUAAAUGAAUGUACCCUAACCUCCUAUGACCGUCUGAACAUUUCUCCCUUGGCUCUUCCUUUGAAUCCCAUAGUUCUCAGCUCUUCUGCUGCAACAGAACCCUGUGGAAGAUUUGGAAAAGUGAAGAUAGCAACUUAAGAUAUCCUGGGUUCCUUUCAUCAGCCUUUUUAAUGUUUUCUGGGUGAUUUUUAAAAAAUGUAACCAGGGUUGAUAACCACUACUCUAGGCAAGGAUUUAUUUUGAAAAAACUUUUUUUGACUGUACAAUGUUCUUUGUGAAAGUUAUGUAUCAAUUGGAGUAGGUAAAACAGCUUAGCAUUUAGCUUCUGCAUUGACUAUGGUCUUUAGGAUGUACUAUGGUCCUAAGGAUGCACUAUGGUCCUGAGGAUGCACUAUAGUCCUGAAGAUGCACUAAGGUCCUAAGGAUGUACUAUGGUCCUGAGAUGCGCUAAGGUCCAGAGGAUGCACUAUGGUCCUUAGAUGCACUAUGGUCCUGAGUAUGCACAAUUUCCUGAGAUUCACUAUAGUCCUGAAGAUGCACUAAGGUCCCGAGGGAUGCACUAUGGUCCUGAGAAUGCACAAUUUCCUGAGAUUCACUAUAGUCAUGAGGAUGCACUAAGGUCCCGAGGGAUGCACUAUGGUCCUGAGGAUGUACUAUGGUCCUGAAGAUGCACUAAGGUCCCGAGGGAUGCACUAUGGUCCUGAGAUGCACUAAGGUCCUGAGGAUGCACUAUGGUCCUGAAGAUGCACUAAGGUCCUGAGGAUGCACUAUGGUCCUGAGAAUGCACUAUGGUCCUGAGGAUGCACUAUGGUCCUGAGGGAUGCACUANUAUGGUCCUGAGGAUGCACUAUGGUCCUGAGGGAUGCACUAUGGUCCUGAGAUGCACUAAGGUCCUGAGGAUGUACUAUGGUCCUGAGAUGCACUAAGGUCCUGAGGGAUGCACUAUGGUCCUGAAGAUGCAAUCAGAUCCUGAGGAUGCACUAUGGUCCCAAGAUUCACUAUAGUCCUGAGGAUGCACUAUCGUCCCAAGGAGGAGGAGGGAAAAAGAGGGAAGAAGAAAACUGGGAAUGUUUUGGAUGUGUACAAGACCACAUGAUCACGAUGAGGUGGGACGCUGUGAAAGCGAACCCCAUCUUCUUCCAAACUUGCUGAGGGCAGGGUUUGUCUAGAUGUGCUAAGACUUUUGUUAUUUUCAGGCAGUGAAUAAUAUAGGGUAUUCUUGGAUAUGCCUUCUCCCUGACAGGAUAUUGGAUGAAAUGGCUUUAGUGUGGGAACAGCUUCCAGGAUAUUGGCCCUGGAAGACGCUUUGGUGAGGAGUGGUUUGAAUAUGCUACUCAAUGCCAGUUGGCAAAGAUUCUGGGGAAAAGUAAGCAAGCUUUCGUUUCAAAGAAUGAAUUAGUAGAGUCUUUAAAAGGAGGGAAAUGGUAAAAAAAAAAUAGAAUAAUUGGGUAUAAAAACUCUCUGAUGCUAAGUUUUAAAACAAAGCCUGGUAGUUUCUGACCUAAAGGCCCAAGCCUGCCAACCACCCAUUUUUGUACAACUUGUAACUAAGAAUGCAUUUUAUAUUUUCAAAUGGCUGAAAAUAAUCAAAAGAAGAAUUAUAUUUCAUCACCUAUGAAUGGUAUAUGAAAUUCAAAUUUCAGUGUUCAUAAAUAAAAUAUUACCGGAGCACAGCCACACUUCAUUUAUGGGUUACUGCCAUAGCUGCUUUUGUUAUACAAGGGCCGAGUUGAACAACUGCUGUACUGCUGUAGACUGUGUAGCCCACAAUAGCCCAGCUAUUUACCGUCUGAUUCUUUGCUGAUACAGCUCGCUGAUCAUUGUGUUGAAGAACCAGAUAAAGAUCUUACUAGGAAGAUUAACCAUGAGUAGUAAAGAAGAGCAAAGGAAGAAGAGAAGAGUGUAAAGGAAAUCAUGUUUAGAUUGCUAAACAUACUAUACAGUUCCUCUACAACUCCAGGGUAGCGUUAGGGUCCCAGCAGAGCACAGGCAUGAGCUAAAAGUGAAAUCAUUGGAAGAGAAUAAUACAAUGGACUGCGUGCAAAGAGAGAGCAGUGGUGACCAGCUAUAACAUACUUCAUAGGCUACGAGCAAAGAAACCAUUGACACCUCUAGGCCUGAAGAGUUUAGGGAAGGGAAGAGUUUCCAGAAUCCAGAAUAAAAGAAUGAUACAGGCAGACCAACCUUCAAAGCAGUAGCAAAGGACGUAGCAAUUCAUAAAAGACUCAUGGAGACCAUAUUUUGUCCCCUUUCCAGUUUCCUGCGAAAAUAAGUGUCUAUUCUUCUCCACACCCCCUUUACAGUUUUGUAUUUUGAUAUCCUACUUCAGUUUGAUGGUCACUUUUCAUAGUCUCUUUCGUCUUUCAAACUCACAACCUUUAAGCAGAAGGCACAGAGGCACAGAGGCAAUACCUUGGGC